GUUAAACAUGCAUGUACAUGUGUAUACUAAACACUAGAAAAUUUAAUAUUGAAAAUUAAUCACCCUAGAUUUAAAACAGCCAUGUUAAAAUCAGCACUUAAAACUUGGGAGCAUCUGGAGAUGUUUUAAUAACAAAUAACCUGAAAGGAUUAUAAAUGGCUUACAGGUUGACAUGUGGAGAGGAGACAGAGAAUAAUUCACUACUGGGAAAAAGGACACUGAGGAUAUUCAUCAUUCUGAAUGAAGAACUCAAUUUAUGAAUACAAAGUUUGCAAAGGAGAAUUAAUGAUCAAAUCAAAAGAGGCCUGAUGCCUGUUUAUCAACUUACAUAAAAUUAUUUUAAUGCAAAGAGAAUUUAUUUGACCUGGCCCAUUUUUUGGUCAAAGCUGGCAUUCUUUACAAAAAUGCUCUCACUGAGAAAGCUGGUAACAACAAACCUCCCUUCAAACUCCG
rnacentral:lncRNA from 1 species